rnacentral:rRNA from 1 species
AGUGAACGCUGGCGGUAGGCCUAACACAUGCAAGUCGAACGGCAGCACAGUAAGAGCUUGCUCUUACGGGUGGCGAGUGGCGGACGGGUGAGGAAUACAUCGGACUCUACUUUUUCGUGGGGGAUAACGUAGGGAAACUUACGCUAAUACCGCAUACGACCUACGGGUGAAAGCAGGGGAUGUUCGGACCUUGCGCGAUUGAAUGAGCCGAUGUCGGAUUAGCUAGUUGGCGGGGUAAAGGCCCACCAAGGCGACGAUCCGUAGCUGGUCUGAGAGGAUGAGCAGCCACACUGGAACUGAGACACGGUCCAGACUCCUACGGGAGGCAGCAGUGGGGAAUAUUGGACAAUGGGCGCAAGCCUGAUCCAGCCAUACCGCGUGGGUGAAGAAGGCCUUCGGGUUGUAAAGCCCUUUUGUUGGGAAAGAAAAGCAGCAGGUUAAUACCCCGCUGUUCUGACGGUACCCAAAGAAUAAGCACCGGCUAACUUCGUG